UUCCGUAGGGUGAACCUGCGGAAGGAUCAUUAAAGAUUGACCGAAAGGUCUUAUCUCUAUAUCCCUCACCUCUGUGAACUGUGGACCUCCGGGUCUAUUUAACAAACAUCAGUGUAAUGAACGUAUAUAUCAUUAAACAAAACAAAACUUUCAACAACGGAUCUCUUGGCUCUCGCAUCGAUGAAGAACGCAGCGAAAUGCGAUAAGUAAUGUGAAUUGCAGAAUUCAGUGAAUCAUCGAAUCUUUGAACGCACCUUGCGCCUUUUGGUAUUCCGAAAGGCAUGCCUGUUUGAGUGUCAUGAAAUCUCAAUCCCCCUGGGUUUAUGAUCUGGGUCGGACUUGGAUAUGGGCGUCUGCCGGUCACACGGCUCGCCUCAAAUGACUUAGUGGAUCUCUCUGCAUCCGUGACAGACGUAAUAAGUUUCGUCUUGUCCCUUGCUUAUGAGUCUGCUCAUAACCUGCCAUCGCGCACUUUAGACUCUGACCUCAAAUCAGGUAGGACUACCCGCUGAACUUAAGCAUAUCAAUAAGCGGAGGAACAG
rnacentral:rRNA from 1 species